rnacentral:rRNA from 1 species
GAUAAACGCUGGCGGCGUGCAUAACACAUGCAAGUCGAACGAAGUGGCGAACGGGUUAGUAACACGUGAGUAACCUGCCUUACACAAGGGGAUAGCCUUUGGAAACGAAGAUUAAUACCCUAUGGGGUAAGAUGGUCUUUCGUCUGAUUAGCUAGUUGGUGAGAUAAAGGCCCACCAAGUCAACGAUCAGUAGCCGGCUUGAGAGAGGGUACGGCCACAUUGGGACUGAGACACGGGCCAAACUCUACGGGAGGCAGCAGUGGGGAAUUUUGCACAAUGGGGGAAACCCUGAUGCAGCGACGCGGCGUGAUUUAGAAGGCCUUCGGGUUGUAAAAAUCUUUUUUAUGGGAUGCGGUACCAAAGAAUAAGGUCCGGCUAAAUACGUGCCAGCAGCCGCGGUAAUAC